rnacentral:tRNA from 1 species
GUGCAUGUGGCCCAGUGGUAGAGCACUUGCCUAGCAUGUGUGAGGCACUGGGUUUGAUUCUCAGCAUCACA